UUGAGCAGCAAUUAAAUGAACAUUCUUUUCCACUUGGAGAAAUUCAGUAAAAUACGAGCAGAGAAUUAUUAAUAAUUGGGAUAAAAAUGAGCUUGUCUAGGGGAGUAUAUACAUUGGACAGACCUGCCAUAAAAAUUACUUUUGAGGCAAGGAUUUUCAACAAAUACGUUAAACAACAUUUAACCUGAAUUAUUACUUCCUUUGCGGUUUUCUUUGCUCUGACCUUGUAGGAAUGAUGUGCUGCCUUAAAUCUCCUGCAGCAGCAGACGCCCUUGGUACAGGACUGGUGCCAAUGCUCCAAGCCACAGCACGAGGCUGGUGAGAUUUCCCAGUGUCCAGAUAGAUAGUGGCUUGUGGCCUCUGCUAAGUGAGUAACCUUUGCAUCCAGCAGUCUUAGGAAGAAUCGUCUCCCAAAGUCUCUGUAUCUCAGCUGCCUUUCUGCUUCCUCAGGCCGAGAUUGUUUGUUCAAGAAUAUUCCUGAGAUAGUCACAGAAAUGUAAUGGGUAGAAAGUGGGCUGAAGCAGAAUCUGGAAAGCUGGACUUCAGGGUGAUUAUACUCCAUUGGCAAGAAGAACACGAACCAGUGUGAAAGUUCACGCAUCUGGAUGAAUGGAAAUCAAUGGAGUGGAUUUUUGAGCAUAUGCUGGUACUACCCAAAGGACGCUGAGGAAUGUUGUUGAGCACAUGUAAGAAUUAAACACUGAAAUUCUACUACAUCACAAUGCCAACAUGAUAAAAAGUCUGCAAUAAACACGCUCAUCAAAUUA